CAAGACGGGGAAUGUAAUUCACAUCGACACACUUUGGCAGUUUUGUGUUAGAGAUUAUUUGGUGAUUUCUCCUAAUCCAUGACAAAUGAGUAUAUGGUAACCAGAGCGAUCUGAAAAGGGUUUUAUUGAAUUUAUAUGCGUAUUUAUUCUGGCCAAAUAGUAUAAACAUAAACCCACAAUAAAACAAUUAGAUAUAGGCAGAUUUCUGUAAUUAUUCUUUUCAUACACUAUCCUUAACUGAAGUAUUUAAUCUACAAUAAAUGUUAAACACUAACAAAUGCUGCAAACACACAUAAACUGAAUAGAAAUGCUUGUAACUUUUUGUGUUUUAUGUUCCCUAACAAAACAUCAAAACUAAAUUUACUUAAACUCUUUAUUUUUGGGGAAGAAACACUGAAUAAUUCUGUGCUGUUCGAGACAUAUUUUGCAACAAAGUCUUAGAUCACUCACAGUAUAAUUAAGCUAUGAAAUCCAUUAGAAAUGCUAAGUAUAAUUUAAUUGGGAAUGUUUUGAUUUAAAAUUCCUUUGAAUAAUGUAGGCUAAUCCUUACAGAAAGAGAGGAACGGAGAUCAAUCUGUUUUUUUCUGUUUUUUAAGGAACACAUGCAAAAGCUUGGAAAAUACAACAUGGGCUAAAUGAAGUUACUGGAAUGCUAAGUAUCACUUUAUCAGGGAUAUUUAGUUUAAAAUAUAUAUGAAUAAUCUGAACUAUAGUACAUUGUUGUAGAGAGCAAAGAUUAAUUAGUAUUUUCUGGUUUUUUGGGCACAUAGAAACUUGCACAUAUAACACAGUAGAUUUUACAUGCAUGUGUUUUGAUUUGGUCAUGGUGAUCCAUAGAUUUAAUUACAGCCCUUCCAAUGUAAUUCCCAACACAUCUUGUUUGCUUUAGUGGCUCUUUUUCUUGACUGCCUUUUCAUUAAUUUUAUUCUCCACCUCUGUGUGUUACAGCACAGAAAGGACAUCUUUGAACAGUGAAGGCAAGCCACAGGCCAGAUUUCUGCAGGGAUUUUUGAAGAGGAAAGGGCAAAAAUCAAAAAGCAUUGAAAACACUAUUUGACUGAUAGACUGUUUUUAACUAACCCAUGAUGAUGAUGGUGAACUGGAAUGAAGAAUGAGAAACAAUACUGAACUGUCAGCGUCCGUGUCUAUGAGACUGGUGAGAACAGCUCUUCUUAUCUGUUAAAAUUGGUGGAUCUGGCAAAACAAAAACUGAAACAAAGGCUCUCCCAAAUCCCAUCCCAACAACCUGUCAGUGCUCCCUGGAGCAGCAUUCUGACCCUGCACUUGAAUCACUCUGCUGGGAUGUUUUCUGCUCAGCGCUGGGGCCAGUUUUGCUUCCUGAACUUCAAGGGUGACAUCCUAGUUACACAGAAAAAAAAAUGGCUUUGUUGUGAAUCCUACCAGUGUGGAGGCAGGCAAAGGCCUAAGCACACGGAUCCUCCUGUGCCACUGCUGCUGGGGACACCAACACACUGCAGAGUCAUCCCACCACUGCUGGCCCUUUGGAUGGACCUGCUACGUUAUGUGACAUGGAUCGUUUCCAGUCAGCCUUGUAUUGAAAUCUGUCAUUGCCAAAGUUUAGAAAAUCAACUUAAAACCAACUUGGAAGACUUCUGCCCAGACCCUUUGCUUUUACAUGCCACGAGUCGGCUCUCUGCUCCCAGGUCCACGUUGCUGUAAGGAAUCAAAGUCCAAAGAAGGCACUACAUAUUUUUCUGGAAUUUAGAAACAAGAUCCCUAUGGUCUGCUGGUAAAAUGUAGACACUGUAGUGAGAGUAAUGAAAUGUCCAAGAUCUUGAAUAAGCAUGGGAUGGAAACUGGGAGUCAGUGGAGCAUAAGGAGCCCAGGUGUGAUGUGCUUAGGGGUAGGACUGCUGAGAAG